rnacentral:rRNA from 1 species
UGGGGAAUUUUCCGCAAUGGGCGAGAGCCUGACGGAGCAACGCCGCGUGAGGGAGGAAGGCCUGUGGGUUGUAAACCUCUUUUCUCAGGGAAGAAGGUCUGACGGUACCUGAGGAAUCAGCAUCGGCUAACUCCGUGCCAGCAGCCGCGGUAAGACGGAGGAUGCAAGCGUUAUCCGGAAUUAUUGGGCGUAAAGCGUCCGUAGGUGGUUAAGCAAGUCUGCUGUUAAAGACCACAGCUCAACUGUGGGACGGCAGUGGAAACUGCGUGACUAGAGUAUGGUAGGGGUAGAGGGAAUUCCUAGUGUAGCGGUGAAAUGCGUAGAUAUUAGGAAGAACACCAGUGGCGAAGGCGCUCUACUGGGCCAUGACUGACACUGAUGGACGAAAGCUAGGGGAGCGAAAGGGAUUAGAUACCCCCGUAGUCC